rnacentral:rRNA from 1 species
AUUGAACGCUGGCGGCAGGCUUAACACAUGCAAGUCGAGCGGGGUGAUGGUGCUUGCACUAUCACUUAGCGGCGGACGGGUGAGUAAUGCUUUGGAAUCUGCCUAUUAGUGGGGGACAACAUCUCGAAAGGGAUGCUAAUACCGCAUACGUCCUACGGGAGAAAGCAGGGGAUCACUUGUGACCUUGCGCUAAUAGAUGAGCCUAAGUCGGAUUAGCUAGUUGGUGGGGUAAAGGCCUACCAAGGCGACGAUCUGUAGCGGGUCUGAGAGGAUGAUCCGCCACACGGGGACUGAGACACGGCCCAGACUCCUACGGGAGGCAGCAGUGGGGGAUAUUGGACAAUGGGGGGAACCCUGAUCCAGCCAUGCCGCGUGUGUGAAGAAGGCGUUAUGGUUGUAGAGCACUUUAAGCGAGGAGGAGGCUCUUUUGGUUAAUACCCAAGAUGAGUGGACGUUACUCGCAGAAUAAGCACCGGCUAACUCUGUGCCAGCAGCCGCAGUAA